rnacentral:rRNA from 1 species
GGAGUUAGCCGGUGCUUCUUCUGUGAGUGAUGUCCUUCCUGCCGGCUAUUAACCCGCAGGCCUUCUUCCUCACUGAAAGUGCUUUACAACCCGAAGGCCUUCUUCACACACGCGGCAUGGCUGGAUCAGGGUUGCCCCCAUUGUCCAAUAUUCCCCACUGCUGCCUCCCGUAGGAGUCUGGGCCGUGUCUCAGUCCCAGUGUGGCUGAUCAUCCUCUCAGACCAGCUACGGAUCGUCGCCUUGGUGAGCCGUUACCUCACCAACCAGCUAAUCCGACAUAGGCUCAUCCGAUAGCGCGAGGCCCGAAGGUCCCCCGCUUUCCCCCGUAGGGCGUAUGCGGUAUUAGCCUGGGUUUCCCCAGGUUAUCCCCCACUACCGGGCAGAUUCCUAUGCAUUACUCACCCGUCCGCCGCUCGCCACCAGGGAGCAAGCUCCCCGUGCUGCCGCUCGACUUGCAUGUGUUAGGCCUGCCGCCAGCGUUCAAUCUGAACACGANACAAUACUGA